rnacentral:rRNA from 1 species
UCGUGACGGCUAGCUCAUGACAGUCGAGCGUGUAGAGAGAAGCUUGCUUCUCUUGAGAGCGGCGGACGGGUGAGUAAUGCCUAGGAAUCUGCCUAGUGGUGGGGGAUAACGUUCGGAAACGGACGCUAAUACCGCAUACGUCCUACGGGAGAAAGCGGGGGACCUUCGGGCCUCGCGCCAUUAGAUGAGCCUAGGUCGGAUUAGCUAGUUGGUGAGGUAAUGGCUCACCAAGGCGACGAUCCGUAACUGGUCUGAGAGGAUGAUCAGUCACACUGGAACUGAGACACGGUCCAGACUCCUACGGGAGGCAGCAGUGGGGAAUAUUGGACAAUGGGCGAAAGCCUGAUCCAGCCAUGCCGCGUGUGUGAAGAAGGUCUUCGGAUUGUAAAGCACUUUAAGUUGGGAGGAAGGGCAUUAACCUAAUACGUUAGUGUUUUGACGUUACCGACAGAAUAAGCACCGGCUAACUUCGUGCCAGCAGCCGCGGUAAUACGAAGGGUGCAAGCGUUAAUCGGAAUUACUGGGCGUAAAGCGCGCGUAGGUGGUUCGUUAAGUUGGAUGUGAAAGCCCCGGGCUCAACCUGGGAACUGCAUCCAAAACUGGCGAGCUAGAGUACGGUAGAGGGUGGUGGAAUUUCCUGUGUAGCGGUGAAAUGCGUAGAUAUAGGAAGGAACACCAGUGGCGAAGGCGACCACCUGGGACUGAUACUGACACUGAGGUGCGAAAGCGUGGGGAGCAAACAGGAUUAGAUACCCUGGUAGUCCACGCCGUACACGAUGUCAACUAGCCGUUGGAAUCCUUGGAGAUUUUAGUGGCGCAGCUAACGCAUUAAGUUGACCGCCUGGGGAGUACGGCCGCCCAGGUGAAAACUCACAUGAAUUUGACAG